AUGGGAUAGCCACUAGAAAUGGUGGGUAAUACUGUAUAAUCCCUGCGGGGGAAAGAUUUAUCGCUAUUAGAUGAGCCUAUGUUAGAUUAGCUAGUUGGUAGGGUAAAGGCCUACCAAGGCAGUGAUCUAUAGCUGGUCUGAGAGGAUGAUCAGCCACACUGGAACUGAGAUACGGUCCAGACUCCUACGGGAGGCAGCAGUGGGGAAUAUUGGACAAUGGGCGCAAGCCUGAUCCAGCUAUGCCGCAUGAGUGAGGAAGGCCUUAGGGUUGUAAAACUCUUUCAGUGGGGAAGAUAAUGACGGUACCCACAGAAGAAGUCCCGGCAAACUCCGUGCCAGCAGCCGCGGUAAUACGGAGGGGGCAAGCGUUGUUCGGAAUUAUUGGGCGUAAAGGGCAUGUAGGCGGUUCGGUAAGUUAAAGGUGAAAUGCCAGGGCUUAACCCUGGAGCUGCUUUUAAUACUGCCAGACUAGAGUCCGGGAGAGGAUAGCGGAAUUCCUAGUGUAGAGGUGAAAUUCGUAGAUAUUAGGAGGAACACCAGUGGCGAAGGCGGCUAUCUGGUCCGGUACUGACGCUAAGGUGCGAAAGCGUGGGGAGCAAACAGGAUUAGAUACCCUGGUAGUCCACGCUGUAAACAA
rnacentral:rRNA from 1 species